CGCAGCCUUCUCUCCCCUCGGUAAAUUCCUCCGUUGGAACCUCCUCGUCCGGUGUGGGGAUCACCUUGACAUUCUGUCCUUCGGUCACUUUUGCUUUUCCUUUAGCAUUUGCGAGCUGCGUUGGCAGGCCAGGGAGUGCGAACACGCGACCGCUGCGGGUUAUGCCGCUAGCCCGGUGAUGUUGGUUACUUUGGCCGAUAGUGAGCCGACGUCGGUAGCUUCUUCCUUCAUACCGCCCGGAGGGGCGUACCUCCACG
rnacentral:lncRNA from 1 species